CCUACCCAUCCUAAUCCGCGAAUGCUCCGAUGUGCAGCCCAAGCUCUGGGCCCGCUACGGGAAAAAAGUCUCUCAUCCCUGACCUCGAGUGCCCCAAGCCAGCAGUGUCACAAUCUACUCAGCAAACACAACUUCCCCACCCACAAUAGGCUCUAGAUGAACGUUCAAAACAACCCCGAACUCCAGGAAGCGCCACGAUGCCGUUUCACCAUUAAUGUGGAUCUCACUGAUGAGAGCUGCCAAAAACGCUUGAAGCGUCAUUGAAUUGUCAACGAAAAGAGUCCAACUCUGUAAAAUAUUUGAAAAGACUUAUUCUGAGCCAAAUAUGAGUGACCAUGGCCCUUGACACAGCCCUCGGGAGGUCCUGAGAACAUGUGCCCAAGGUGGUCCGGUACAGCUUGGUUUUACAUAUUUUAGGGAGAUAUGAGACUUCAAUUCAUUCAAGAAAUACACUGGUUGGGCCGGGCCUGGUGGCUCACGCCUGUAAUCCGAGCACUUUGGGAGGCCGGGGCGGGUGGAUCAACUGAGGUCAGGAAUUUGAGACCAGCCUGGCCAACAUGGUGAAACCCCAUGUUU
rnacentral:sRNA from 1 species